rnacentral:rRNA from 1 species
UACGGGGGGGCAAGCGUUGUUCGGAAUUACUGGGCGUAAAGGGCUCGUAGGCGGCCAACUAAGUCGGAUGUGAAAUCCCUCGGCUUAACCGGGGAACUGCGUCUGAUACUGGAUGGCUUGAGUUUGGGAGAGGGAUGCGGAAUUCCAGGUGUAGCGGUGAAAUGCGUAGAUAUCGGGAGGAACACCAGUGGCGAAGGCGACUACCUGGCCUGUUCUUGACGCUGAGGCGCGAAAGCUAGGGGAGCAAACGGG